rnacentral:lncRNA from 1 species
AGACAAACCAGGGCUGGCGAUGGUUAAUUCACACGGAGUGUGUUGAUUCCCACCCAGGGGAUGCGGGCCCACCCCCCUCCCCAUCAUGUCUCUCCACCACACAGAACAGUGGCCCCAUGACUCUUGUUCAAGCAGACGUACCUGAAUUUCACUUAACCAGGGCACCACAGCUGUUCAGGUGCAAUUCUGUGCUCCUUAGCCAAGUGCCUGGCACUCAGAAUGUUUCCCAUGUGUUGGUUCUCAGAGGGGGAGUUGCGGAAACUACCAUCAUACUUCAGAGGGAAUUGGGAGGAAUCAGCAGCAGCCAAACCAGGACCGUAGGCCCCAUCUCUCAGGAGCAGCCCAGGCCAGCGCCGUGGCUCACCUGGCCAGCACCAAUUUGCUGGAAGAAGCCCAAUUUGCUCAUUAAAUGCGGGUCCUAGAGUUAUCCUGGGAGGUAAACAAGAGGUGAUUCCAUCCUGUAUGACUCAGGAGGCACAGAAAGUCCUGAAAAAUGCAUCUUUCCUCCCCAUGUGCUCCAGAUUCCAGAGCAUGAUCUUCCCACAAGAAAGCUGUUUUCUAUUUUUUCUUGCUUUGAGUUGGUCCUCUUGCCAACACCCACUCACCCUCUGAAGGGACCCCUGAAACUCUAACUUCUCCAGCUCCCAGUUGGACUUAGCCAAAUAUGUGUAUAAUUAAAUGGUGGCAGAAGAAAGUGAAGAUAUGUCCAGCUCUUAACCCCCAGUGCCUGUGAAGGGGACCUUAUUUGGAAAUGGGGUCUUUGCAGAUGGAAUUAGUUAAGGAUCUCGAAAUGAGGUCAUCCUGGAUUCGGGGCGGGCUGUGAAUCUACUGACUGGUGUCCCACAAGAAGAUACGGAGAGCUGCAGGGAGAAGUCAUGCAAAGACAGACACAGAGGCUGGAGGGAAGCAGCCACGGCCAGGGGAGUCCUAGAGCCACAGAAGCUGGGAGAGGCAGGAGUGUCUUCCCCUGGAGCCUUCCAAGGGGAGUGCUGCCCACCAACACCUUGACUUUGGACCUGUGGCCUCCAGGCUAUGCGAGAUCAUGUUUGCAGCUUUGGGCCCCCCAGCUUGUGGCAAUUUGUUGUGGUGACCCUAGGAGAUGAGGACACAUCACCAUCAUUCAGGACAUUGUUAAAGGAAAUCUGCCAUGCACGCCACAGCGGGGACCAGAAUUAAAGGAAGUUGCUGAGGGCCAGUGAGAAGCCAUCCCCAAGAAAGCUAGAGCCCAGAGAAGCCAGCAGGAGCUGUGUGACUCUGCCGGUCUGAGAGGUGAGGCCCUGGGGCAACACGGGGCUGUCUCCACACGAAAUCUCUUUCACCAACAAGAGUCAGUGGGCUUCAGAGGGGCUUAGCAGAGGGGCUAGCGUGGGAUCCCAGAGACUAUGAGUUUUCCUGCCAAGCAUAGCUCACCUAAAAGAAUAGACAUGGGACAGAGGAGAAAUGUGGAAUGGCAUUCGGAGAGGAGGCCCAGCAAACCAAAGGAGACAAGCAUCCCAGCGUUUAGCAAAGAGGCCUCGCCGGAAGCAAAGGGAGGCCACGGAGAGACGGAGUUCCCCUGGGCAGGAGGGCAUGGCUUUGGCUUCCUCCCAGGCCACUGGGCAGAUCACUGACUGACAGAGGUUGGGGUCACCUUGGACAGCACCCUCCAAGCACCCGCCUGUUUUAUGUGAUAGAAAUAACCCACUCAGCACCAACCUGGGAGCUGGACCUGACAUCACCUCCACUUUUGGAUGAGGAAAGAGAGGGGAAAGGAAAGUGCCCCAAAUCCCACCUGUAGUUAGUGAAGGAGCCAGGGUCAGAAAGGACCUGCCCCACCCCCAUGCCGCAUCCCGAGGGGCAUGGCAUGUGGAGACUAUACCUGCAUUCCCAUAGGGUAGGGCUGGGCAGAGCAGCUAUGCCCACCUACCUGCACAGCAGGGGCGGAAAAUGUAAAAAAAAAAAAAAAAAAAAAACUCAAAGGGAAAAUGUAGUAAAAAGCAGAAGUGGUACUGCAGAGAAUCAACUUGGUCCAUGGAGGAUAAAUGAGUGACAUGUUCAACAUCCCCAGGAAAAGGAAGCAGGAAAGAAUGGAGAGAUGGAGAAAGUGAGUCAGAGAGAGAGAGAGAUUUGUCCAGGAUCAGAGAUGUGCCUCAGCCACUCACCACAGGCUCCCGAGCAGACUGUGGCAGGUGACUCACCCUCUCUGGGCCUCGGGUUUUCCGCCUGAAGGUGCUGUGCACUGGUAGUGAGUGCUCCUCUCUCUGCAUGACUUCCCUGUAGAGCCUGAGCUACAGACCCACUGAGGGGAGGCGCUCAUGAGCAGGGAAGUGACAGAAUGGUGGGGAAAGAGGAGGGAGGACAGGAUCCAGGACCACAAACUGCAACCUCCAGAUGAGACAGUCCCGGGUCAGUGGGGAGCCAUUCUGCAGAGGAGGGGGAGCUGUGAACAUCAAGCUGCAUCAGCCUCUGAGCUGAGGUGGAUGUGUUGGCCCAGAGGUGCAUCUUAAGAGGCACCAACCACACCCGCUACAGGGACCUGUGGUCCUCUCACUGAGAAUAUCUAAGCAUAGAAUUCAUGCUAUGCCAGUUGGAAAAUGAAUUCAAAGCCAACGCAAUUGUCACAACUCAUUCUGAAACAAAAGCCAAAUAAUAAUAAUAAUAAUAAUAACCAAUAAUCCAGACUUAAAGGGAUCACACGUGAACACUAGAUAUUUAUCCACCUUGCCCGGCAAGCAGGAGGAAGCAUGAAGAGUGCCCCAAGCCAUUGUACGUGAUAUGGUUCGGCUGUGUCCCCACCCAAAUCUCAUCUUGAAUUGCAGUUCCCAAAAUCCCCAUGUGUCAUGGGAGGGACCCUGUGGGAGGUAAUUGAAUCAUGGGGGUGAUUUCAUAAUGGUGAGUAAGUUCUCACAAGAUCUGAUGGUUUUAUAAGGGACUUUCCCCUUCACACGGCUUUCUUCUCUCUCCUGCCACCUUGUGAAGAAGGACGUGUUUGCUUCCCCUUCUGCCAUGAUUGUAAGUUUCCUGAGGCCUCCUCAGCCAUGCUGAACUGUGAGUCAAUUAAACCUCUUUCCUUUAUAAAUUACCCAGUCUCGGGUAUGCCUUUAGUAGCAGCAUGAGAACAGAUUGAUACAGCACAGGAAGGCAGUGGAGCGGGCCAGCAUUGCGUUUGUGUUGGUCAUUCAGGCACACAGGUGCAGGUCAGCUUUUUUAAUGAAGGGUAACCAGUAGAAGAAUUAAAAAAUAGGACACAUUCUUUCUAGAUAAACACUGAAUUCUAACUCAAAUAAGGUAUAGCACUUACGGCCAAAGAUUGAAAACCCAUUGUACAGCAAGGAUGCAAGAAAGAAAAAGACAGAAAGGAACAUUUUUAAUUCAAAAAAAUCAAAGCAGAAACCAUGAGGAGAUCAAAAGAACCCCCAGCACAGCCAGCACAGUGGUGAAUGCAGGUGCAGGGGCACCGCAGUCACAGAGAUGGGUGAAUUCCAG